GACGAACCGUGCGAACGUUGUUCGGAAUCACUGGGCUUAAAGGGCGCGUAGGCGGGCGGCCGCGUCCGGGGUGAAAUCCCACGGCUCAACCGUGGAACGGCCUCGGAUACGGGCGGCCUCGAGGGGGGUAGGGGCAUCUGGAACUGUGAGUGGAGCGGUGAAAUGCGUUGAUAUUCACAGGAACUCCGGUGGCGAAGGCGAGGUGCUGGACCCCAUCUGACGCUGAGGCGCGAAAGCCAGGGGAGCGAAC
rnacentral:rRNA from 1 species